GUAGAUUUUUCAAUAACUGCUUCAAUAAAGUUUGACAAUAGAAUGGUCGGAUGCAACGAGGAGUUCAAGAUGAUAAUGGAUCAACUCACCCGACAAUCCGCAAAGCAGCUACAAGUUGUAUCAAUUGUAGGCAUGGGAGGAAUUGGCAAGACCACUUUAGCUCGGAACGUCUAUGAAGAUUCAUCAAUUACUUCUCAUUUUGACAAACGAGCAUGGGUUGCCAUAUCUCAAGAGUAUGACGUGGAACAAAUACUCCAAUGCCUUAUUGAUUGUGUUAAUGCAGAAUCAAAUGAUGUACUCCAUGAACGAAGAAAUGACAACUUAACAGAAAGUUUGCGUAAACACUUGAUGGGUCAGAGGUAUUUUAUAGUGAUGGAUGAUGUAUGGAGCUCUACCGCUUGGGAUAGUGUGCAAAGAUGCUUUCCAGAUGAUAAUAAUGGAAGCCGUAUACUACUGACUUCUCGGCUAAGAGAGGUGGCUGAAUAUGCAAGUUCAGGUAACUCUACCAUUAACAUGCCUUUCUUAGAUGCCAAUAAAAGUUGGAAUCUCUUCUGCAAUGUGUUAGGUCAAACAGAAUUUCUUUCAGUGUUUGAGCAAAUUGGUAGAGACAUAGUGAAGAAAUGUAAUGGAUUACCUCUAGCUAUUACUUUAGUAGCUAGUCUUCUCUCCAAGACAGAGGCCGCAGUGGAGAAGUGGAAUAAUGUUGCAGAAAAUGUGGGUAGAUAUGUAAUUGGUGAUUCUAAUGAUACAUGUUCCAGAAUACUGUAUUUGAGUUACAACCAAUUACCACACCACUUAAAAGCUUGUUUUCUAUAUUUUGGAGUUUUCCCCGAAGACUAUGAGAUCCAUGUGAAGAAGUUGGUUAGGUUGUGGGCGGCAGAGGGAUUUUUGAGGGCAGAGGACCAUCGAAAUAUGGAGGAAGUGGCCAUGGAAUGCUUGCAAGAUCUUGUUGAUAGAAGUCUUGUUUUUGUUAACAAACAGAGCUACAAUGGGAAAAUGAAGACAAUAAGAAUACAUGACAUGUUGCGGGAUUUGUGUUUAAGAGAAGCUCGACAUGAAAAUCUCUUGAAUGUUGUUGGAGAUGAAAAACUUCCAUUUUACAAGAAGAGAAUCUCUUGUCGUUGGAUAAGUGCUACAUCAGGGUUUCAUCUACUUCCUUUGACAAAGUGCUUUCACAAAUCACAUUCCUUUCACUAUCCGUAUGCUUAUUACUAUGAAAGUGUACAAUGUCUAUUUUCAAACUUCAAACUACUAAGAGUAGUUGAUAUAGAGCGUAUAUCUUCCAAUGGAUAUUGGGUACAAUAUGCGCUUGCAAAUCUUAUUCAUUUGAGAUACUUAGCUUUGAGGUAUUCAACAAAUUCUGAUAAAUAUUUUUCUUUAGAGCUUUUUGAGCAUUGGAAUAUGCAAAGCUUUAUUGUUCAUGGAGCAUUGAAAUACUCUAUGGCAUAUGGAAUUUGGAAAAUGCCACUAUUAAGGAAUUUAUGCAUUCAACGGAUUGAUUCAUUUGGAACUUUGUCAGUUGUUCAUAGAAACUUAGAGAGUAUAUCAUGGUUGGAUUCUAAGCUCUGUACAAAGGAUUUGUUUACAAGGAUUCCAAAUUUAAAAAAAUUGGGAAUUGAUGGUGGAUACGAUGGAAACAAUCUAGAUUGUUUUAAUAAUUUUGUGCACUUGGGGCAGCUUGAGGAGCUAAGCAUCAGAAAGUGGCUUAAUCUCAACCGUAUUCCAUGUAGCGGCAUCUCAUGGGCAUCAAGUUUUCUGCCAAAUCUUAAGAAGCUCAAAUUUUUCUUGACUAGUUUGGCAUGGAGUGAUAUGAGGCUUAUUGGUAUGUUGCCGAAUCUAGAGGUUCUAAAGCUGAAACGUGCUAUUGCUAGGAAAGACACAAUGUGGGAACCAUCCGAGGAAGGAUUCCGUAAAUUGAAAAGAUUGGUAAUUGAAUAUACAUGUUUGAAACGUUGGAGUGCCGUGGGUGACCAUUUCCCUGUGCUUGAAUGUUUGGAGUUACAUAAAUGCGAUAAUUUGCAAGUGAUCCCUAGUGGUUUUGCGGAUAUCACCACACUAGCACUGAUUCAGUUAAACUGGUGUUUGGAUUCCGUUCUGGCUUCAGCAAAAUUGAUUGAACAAGAGAAAUACAACUAUGGAAAUGCCCUCCUUGUUCGUUCGGAAAAUAUUAUGACGAAACGUGUAAACAACAGAAGAGGAAGAAUUGGAUGUGCAGACGAAAGGUAGUGUAAACAGCUCAGAGGAAGAAUGGGAUGAGGGUGAAGUGAGUGAUAUUUCUCAGGAUUAGGCAGAGUGGGUGAAGAGAGAGCAAAUGGAAGAAGCUAAGUGUACUGUUAUCCAUCAUCAACUCAUCAAGAAUACACAAAAAGUUUUCAGUCUAAACGAUCAGCGAAUCGUACUGUCCACAUGUUGACUCAUAGUCAAUUUUUCAGUUUGAU